ensembl:lncRNA
GUUUCAAGGUUUCAGGCUGGCGCUCGCGAGCGCAGACAUGUUUAACAAACAUGCAGACUGACGGCUGGAGACGUGAAAAGCAAUCACAAUAACAAAGCUUAAUUUCCUCUCAAAGCCUUAUUACUUAUAUAAUUACUGCAAUUUAAAGUCAAUUAUUAUUCUCUCGCUCUGUGAAACGAAGUCUACGCUCUUUAACAACUUGCAGCAUUUAUCCCAAAUGCAUUCCACAUUAUUACUGUAAAGCUUAAUUGCCAUCGUUUGAUUCUGCUAAAUGUGCCGUCCAGCUCUUGGAAAACAGAUUUUAAUGGACCAACGAAAAACGUCUAUUGAUAAAUAUGAGGAGAGAAGAGAUGCCAUUGCUUUACCUCCAUACAGAUGAAGACGGCUGAGCUGAAGCGAAGGCCGUUCACAGAAUGGUAACAGGUUUUGUUAAAAGCUUUUGACUCUUUAUUGCCCCUUGAGACGCAACCCUGGCUCCAGUGCCUCUGUUGCGCAGUAAGUCGGCAGAAAGUAACGGGCUCUCGAUAGCUCAAAUCCACUAUUAAGUGGGCUUUGGGUAUGGAACCGGGCCAGAUACUUACUGUCAAUCUACCAUGAAGGUAAUGUGUUCCUGCCAGUCAGUAGUUAUGUGCUAUUAAAAUCUACCCUUCUAAAGCUUAAUUUUUGUAUACGUGGUCUCAUUAUGGAUAAAUUGAGUCAUAUUUAUAGCUGUGUAUCUAACAAAGUGGCUGCUUAGUAUAUAAUGAAUACAUUUUGAAUGUAACAAAUGUAUGUAUGUAGUCCUUAUUGUCCAUAGAUAACAAGAGGACUACAUGAGAGUUUUUGGCAUGAGAUUUUGAAUUGCCUUUACAGUUAAUUGGAUUCAAAUGUGAAUAUGAAUAUUUCCAUUAGACGUCAAGGAUUCCACUUUGAUGGUUCAGACACACCUGUGGAGCAGCAGCGGCUUGACUUCAGGAAGGUUUGAAUUUAUACUUUUGCUCUCAUCCAGUCUGCCUAUUGAGGACUUGCUGUCCAACAUUUCUUUUCCCUGUGACAUAGUGGGACUAGGAGUCCAAAUGUCUGCAUCAUCUUAGGCUUCAGUCACACUGAUAACCCCCCUGGGUAACCACCAGUUGUGAGGGAAAUGUCUAUAUUCUGUGAAUAGUUGCUGCGUGAAAUUUGCUUCAGUUACUAGUAGGUUAUGUCAGUUGCAAGUAGUUUGCUUGCCUGCAAGAUACUGACUUAUCCGCAAACACCAAGUAUUCACCAAGCAGCAGUGAAACUGUGACAAGUGCAACACAGACUAGAAACAGAAAGCACUCACCUUCAAAGUGUGUUAGUGAAAUGUGUCAGAAAAUGUGUCACAUUUUCCUUACUGCGCUUUGUGUCUUUCACGCAAACUACGGGUAGCCAUGGUAAUCUAUUGCUUUGGUAAUUGACCAAAACAGUCGCAAGGAGGGGUUUUUUGCAGAACCCUCUUUGCAGCCAAUUUCACUUGACAGCGGCCAGUAACCUCCAGCAACAAACCACCAAAGAGACACACGUUUUUGCCUUGUGACAUACAACAUACAGCUUUUUUGAAACCUGAGAAGUAAUGAAAUGCUUGUUGAAACUUAAAAUUGACAUAAACAAACUUCUACAUGAUUUGUCUUUACAGGUGACUACUCAGUGUGCCUCAGGGUUGGAGACGAUAUUAUUUCCAGGAGCUCUCAUGAUCCCUCACCACCUCUCUUCAUGUCUUGAUUUCCUGUUCGAGCAUUUCAUCCGCCUUACUUCCAUUAGUUUGUUUUGUCUUUUGCUUAACUGAUGAAGACAUUGUUUUUUCAGUUGUAUUUUUUAUUUUGAUUACGUGCAUAUGCAGCGUAAUGUCCUCGUUGUGCAUAAUCACAUAUGAAAGAUUACUUUGGCAAUUGCAUUUGUGGUGAGUGCUAUAUCAGUUUUCCCACAAUCAAAUCACUCUGAUGAUCAUAUGAUAAAGGAAAGUGUUUGUCUGUGUCGAUCCAUUCCCUAGGAAAUGGUGAUUUCCUUUCCUGUUCACUCACAUUUACAAACUGAAAAUAUGUAAUGGGAGCUUUUACUUGACUAUUCAGCUGGUGUCGAAUUUGACAUGCUUGAAACAGAAAAUGUAAUAAAAUAAAGCUACAUAAAAUAAAAUUAUUUUCCUGAAAGUUGUAAAAUGUCCAUUUUAAAAAUAAUAUCACUUAAUAGGGUAGAGCAAAACAAACAAAAAGUUAAAAGAAUAACUCAUAAAAAGACUUAAUUAUUGAG